rnacentral:rRNA from 1 species
UACGGGGGGGGCAAGCGUUGUUCGGCAUUACUGGGCGUAAAGGGCUCGUAGGCGGCCAACUAAGUCAGACGUGAAAUCCCUCGGCUUACCCGGGGAACUGCGUCUGAUACUGGAUGGCUAGAGAUUGGGAGAGGGAUGCGGAAUUCCAGGUGUAGCGGUGAAAUGCGUAGAUAUCUGGAGGAACACCGGUGGCGAAGGCGGCUUCCUGGACCGACACUGACGCUGAGGCGCGAAAGCGUGGGGAGCAAACAGG